GAUGAAGAACGCAGCGAAAUGCGAUACUUGGUGUGAAUUGCAGAAUCCCGUGAACCAUCGAGUCUUUGAACGCAAGUUGCGCCUCAAGCCAUUAGGUUGAGGGCACGUCUGCCUGGGCGUCACAUAUCGUUGCCUGAUGCCAGUUUCCUCGUGAUGGGUGACUGUGCAGGGCGAAUGAUGGCUUCCCGUGAGCAUUGUUGCCUCAUGGUUGGUUGAAAAUUGAGUCCUUGGUAGGGAGCGCCGUGAUAGAUGGUGGUUGAGUGACGAACGAGACCCAAUCAUGUGAGACCCCUACCGAAUUUGGCCUUCAUGACCCACAUGCGUCUUUGGAACGCUCAUGACGAGACCUAAGGUCAGGCGGGGCUACCCGCUGAGUUUAAGCAUAUCAAUAAGCGGAGGA
rnacentral:misc_RNA from 1 species